AGGGUUUGAUUCUGGCUCAGGAUGAACGCUGGCGGCGUGCUUAACACAUGCAAGUCGAACGAACCUUCGGGUUAGUGGCGGACGGGUGAGUAACGCGUGAGAAUCUGCCCUCAGGAGGGGGAUAACGGUUGGAAACGACCGCUAAUACCCCAUAUGCCUAUUGGUGAAACGAAUUUCGCCUGAGGAUGAGCUCGCGUCUGAUUAGCUUGUUGGUGAGGUAAUGGCUCACCAAGGCUUCGAUCAGUAGCUGGUCUGAGAGGAUGAUCAGCCACACUGGGACUGAGACACGGCCCAGACUCCUACGGGAGGCAGCAGUGGGGAAUUUUCCGCAAUGGGCGAAAGCCUGACGGAGCAACGCCGCGUGAGGGACGAAGGCCUCUGGGCUGUAAACCUCUUUUCUCAAGGAAGAAGAUAUGACGGUACUUGAGGAAUAAGCCACGGCUAAUUCCGUGCCAGCAGCCGCGGUAAUUC
rnacentral:rRNA from 1 species